AGUUUUUCGAAUCUUUGCUGAGAUUUCGUCAGACACCAACCCAUUAGGACCGAUCAGACUUCCAAGUUAAGUGAAGUU
rnacentral:pre_miRNA from 1 species